rnacentral:piRNA from 1 species
AUGUGCGGACGAUGGCUUCUGUC